rnacentral:lncRNA from 1 species
UGGGCUAAGAAUAAUCGAUUAUGUACUUAUGAUAAUCGAUUGUUUAUAAGCCAAGACUGCAUGACAAUCGAUUAUGAACUAAUGAUAAUCGAUUGUGAGUAAGACAGUUAACAUCAGGUUUUUCAAAUCUGCAAGAUAAUCGAUUGUGAACUAAUGACAAUCGAUUAUUGAUGAGGUAAAGUUUUCCAAUACUCAGAAUAAUCGAUUAUGAACAAAUGGUAAUCGAUUAUGUUGAGUUGAUGUCUCCCAGUGAUUUUAAAAUUACUUAAGAAAUCGAUUAUUAACUAAUGGUAAUCGAUUAUGAUGAGUUAACUAGGUUUAACAAU